rnacentral:lncRNA from 1 species
UUAUUCCUAGUGUUGGAUGGAAUUUAUGAGUUUUGAGCAGUUUUUUAAGAGUGCAAGGUUGCACAUUGUAGUUAUCAGUUGAUGAAGGAGUAUUGCUUCUGGAAGGAAGCAUUAUAGUGUUUCUUGGUGUUUUAGUGGUCCGGAUUACAGUUAAUUGAGUGACCCUAACUUGUAAGCUCAUGUACUUAGUCUUUCCUUGUGUUCGAAUUUUCCUAUAUAGGUUUAUUCCAAAAAGAAUUGUAAAAUAAGUA